rnacentral:rRNA from 1 species
CAGCCGCCACGGUAAUACAGAGGGUGCAAGCGUUAAUCGGAAUUACUGGGCGUAAAGCGCGCGUAGGUGGUUUGUUAAGUUGAAUGUGAAAUCCCCGGGCUCAACCUGGGAACUGCAUCCAAAACUGGCAAGCUAGAGUAGGGCAGAGGGUGGUGGAAUUUCCUGUGUAGCGGUGAAAUGCGUAGAUAUAGGAAGGAACACCAGUGGCGAAGGCGACCACCUGGGCUCAUACUGACACUGAGGUGCGAAAGCGUGGGGAGCAAACAGGAUUAGAUACCCGCGUAGUCCCUGUCCCUUAUAC